rnacentral:lncRNA from 1 species
GAGACCUAGGGUCUUUUGAUUUGAGAUCCUCAGUUUGUGACCUUGAAAUUGAGGUCAAGGUCAUAGGUAAAUUUGACGUUCUAGAUUAUGACCAUUGCUUAAAAUUCAUAUCUAUACAUCAUAAAGCCAUAGGAACUGACAUUUUAGACUGAUUUUUAAUAUUUUAAUAUCAAAAUAGAUAUUUACUGGUGGAAAGACCUUCAAUUGUUCUCUGAACAAUUGGUUUUUAAUUAUUAUUAUUAUUAUUAUUAUUUUUUUUUUCUUCCGCCAACUUUUUUUUCCUUCACUGUUUUUUUGUUUCCCAAGAUGUCGCUUGGAUAUAUGGUAUAUGAUAUCGAACAGUUAAUACGCUUCUGAAACUGACACCGUGUAACAAAAAACUUUACCUUGUAAGAGUUAUCUCCCCGAACACUGUUUUUCUUGUUAUCUCUAAGGCUUCGCAACCGUAUAAGAAACCGACAAAUUUAUUUUUCCAAAUUGCUCGUUAUAUCCUCAGGAUGUUCUGUUUUAUUUUGACCGAAGCUAUCCGGAGACUCCAUAUGAGCGUUAUCCCCCCUUUUGUAUAUGAUAUAAGUGAUAUGCAUUUCUAACUGGUAAAGCAUAAGUGAUAGAGACCCAGGGUCUUUUGAUUUAAGAUCCUUGGUCCAAAAAAAUGAAAAUUAGGUCAAGGUCAAAGGUCAAGGUCAAAUUCUAAAUUUUGAUUUUGGCUUAUGUUCACUUAUUUUC